UACGUAGGGAGCAAGCGUUGUUCGGAUUUACUGGGCGUAAAGGGCGCGUAGGCGGCAAAUUAAGUCAGCUGUGAAAUCUCCGAGCUUAACUCGGAACGGUCAGCUGAUACUGAUCUGCUAGAGUGCGGAAGGGGCAAUCGGAAUUCUUGGUGUAGCGGUGAAAUGCGUAGAUAUCAAGAGGAAAACCUGAGGUGAAGACGGGUUGCUGGGCCGACACUGGAGCUGAGUGCGCGAAAGCCAGGGGAGCAAACGGG
rnacentral:rRNA from 1 species